rnacentral:rRNA from 1 species
UACGGGGGGGGUAAGCGUUGUUCGGAAUUACUGGGCGUAAAGGGCUCGUAGGCGGCCAACUAAGUCAGACGUGAAAUCCCUCAGCUUAACUGGGGAACUGCGUCUGAUACUGGAUGGCUUGGAUUUGGGAGAGGGAUGCGGAAUUCCAGGUGUAGCGGUGAAAUGCGUAGAUAUCUGGAGGAACACCGGUGGCGAAGGCGGCAUCCUGGACCAAAACUGACGCUGAAUAGCGAAAGCCAGGGGAGCAAACGGG